rnacentral:sRNA from 1 species
UCGCAGUGGGGUGAGGCACCCCCCGCAAUGCGGGGAGGGCUGAGGCUGGGGUCUGGGCUGUUCCGGACUUCAACACUCACCCUUUGUCCCCCCGCAGGGCUAUGGCGUGUGCUCGGUGGGGCUGGAGCGGCUGGCUUACCUCCUCGUGGCUUACAGCCUGGGCGCCUCAGCCGCCUCACUCCUGGGCCUGCUGGGGCUGUGGCUGCCACGCCCGGUGCCCCUGGUGGCUGGAGCAGGGGUGCACCUGCUGCUCACCUUCAUCCUCUUUUUCUGGGCCCCUGUGCCUCGGGUCCUGCAACACAGCUGGAUCCUCUAUGUGGCAGCCGCCCUUUGGGGUGUGGGCAGCGCCCUGAACAAGACUGGACUCAGCACACUCCUGGGAAUCUUGUACGAAGACAAGGAGAGACAGGACUUCAUCUUCACCAUCUACCACUGGUGGCAGGCUGUGGCCAUCUUCACCGUGUACCUGGGCUCGAGCCUGCACAUGAAGGCUAAGCUGGCGGUGCUGCUGGUGACGCUGGUGGCGGCCG